CCUCAGCAGGGACUCGUGUCCCACCUGUCCCUGGGUAAGGGACAGGGACAGGGACAGUGCCUGUACCACAGGACAGGGAAGGGCUGAUCCCAGGGAAUCCAGCGCCUCAGCAGCGGCUCUCAGUCCACCUUGGAGCGUGCAGACAGUGUUAAUACUGAUUUUUGUGGUUGGUAGGCAGAUCUGGUUUGGGCACCAAAGACACAGUUUUGGCAGGACUUAGCUGUUCCUGCUGUAACUCAGGUGGCCUCGUAACUCUUCUUCCCGUGGAAGCAGAGAUUCCAGAGGAAAGGAAUUGCUAUUAACACUGAACUUGCACACUCUGGACUUGCUGAUCUCCAAAGAUGUUUGCUACAUUUUGAUGUCUUGCAUUAGAAGCACGUGGUAAAUGAGAAACACACAGAUCCUCCAUUCAUUUUCCAUAUUAUCUUCAGAAGACAACAUCUUUUUUUUGACAAAAGUUCAGCUUCUGUGUGCAUGGGCAGCACCAGAUCCUGAGCUGGACCCUCCCCAGAGCCUCCAGGCUGUCCUGGAUGAGCAGCUUUGCAUUAGGGUGGAUGUGACCUCUGAGCAGGGGCUGCAGGGACACUGUGCCCCUCUUUUCCUGCCCCGAGUCUCGAGUGCAAAUGUCACUUUAAAGAACUGCACUAAUAAGACCAGCUCUUGUGGUUUUUUGUUUUAUUUUUUGUUUUGGUCAUUUUCGUUGAAUUUCAGCACCAGUAUCUCCAGACAGUGGCUACUCAUCAGCUCAUGCAGAAGCCACCUAUGAAGAGGACUGGGAAGUCUUUGAUCCAUACUAUUUCAUCAAACAUGUCCCCCCACUAACAGAAGAGCAGCUGAACAGGAAACCAGCUCUCCCACUGAAAACCAGAAGCACACCAGAGUUCUCAUUAGUUCUAGACUUGGAUGAAACAUUAGUGCACUGUAGUCUAAAUGAAUUAGAAGAUGCUGCACUCACUUUUCCAGUUCUUUUUCAAGAUGUCAUUUACCAGGUAAAUAGAGAAACACAAACUUUUUUGAUUUUGUUUUGUGGGAUCCCUUGCUGUGUGCAGUUGUUCUCAGCUUGUUUACCAGGUAAAUAGAGAAACACAAACUUUCUGAUUUUGUUUUGUGGGAUUCCUUGCUGUGUGCAGUUGUUCUCAGCUUGUUGGAAGAGGGAGAAGCAGCAGCCUGGCAUUUACACCUGUGUGGUGAUGUGGUGUCAGAUCUGGCAGGAAAUUGUGUAUUCACUGAAGCUGUUCCCCUUUCAGCUCCUCCUGUGAGCCCAAAUGCUGUGCUGGAGUCAGGGAGGCAGAGCCCUCCUGGCUGGGGCUCUUGUGACUCCACAGCUUACAGGGAAUGGCUGCUCUGUGUGUGCAGUUCUGUGCUGCUGGUGCUUGAGUUUAUGGAAUUGUACAAACAGCUGGAGCCUUUUUUAAAUCACUCUGACAUCCCCAUCCUCAGGUAGUUGUGGGUGGUUAUUCAGAAGAGGAUUUAUUUCUUGUGUCCAGGGCUUGAGCUGGUGCUGCCCUGCUGGUGAGAGCCAAGUCAGGGUGUUUGGUCAAAGCAACCAGUUUCAUUUUUAUAACAUAGAGCUUGUCCAACAUCUGUAUUUUAUUCAUUUUUUUCCUGAUUCCACCCAAUUUUCCAUGAGAAUGUUCAGGCUGCUGUCAGUGUGUUACUGCUCCCUCUGAGCUGCUCAGGCUGGGAGCUGCUGGAGCAUUGGUGUCCCUGGGGUGCUGCUACACAGGACCCUGAUCCUUGCUGUU